CACAAUACAAUGUCGCCUAGGAUUUUUUGGUUCAAAAGUACUAGUUAUGUCUAUGAGCAUAAUCUUUGAAUAAUUUACUCAAGUUGAUUGCUGAUUGAAUUUAAUUUAGGAUAUUUUUAUACCACCGCUGUGAGUUUCUAUUGAGUCGGGCAUGUGCGAUACUCACCUUUUUGUUUCAUUUUUCAUGAUUUCUCUGCAUCAGUUGGUAGAGAAUUUAAGUUAGUUUUCCCUUCUUUUUUCUCAUACAUUUAGUAAGCAGGGAAACAAUAAAGAGGAAAUGACUCUUUGCGUCAUUUGCAUGAUCAUAUCUGUUUCUCUAUUGGGUUAUUUACUUUUGAAUGUGGAGUCCCACUGCACUUCCUUGUAGCUCAAUUAUCUUUUGAAUGUUGGUACUGCUCAUGUCUGGUCCAAAAGUAGUAGUUAUGCUUCGUCUAUGAGUCUAAUCUUUGAAAUUUUAGUCUUAUCGUGCUCAAGUUAUUUUGUCCUUCCUUGUAACUUGGUUAUAUUGUUAGUAUUAUUAACAUUAUUGAGAUGAUUAAACCUUCUCUUAUCAACCUCCGUGAUCCAUUUUCUAUAUUGAAAUCUAAAUUAUUUUCAGAUAACUCUCUUCAAGAAGAUUUCUUCAUGUCCUAUAGAAAAUCUGCAGCUAUCUCAAACCACCCCCCUAUUGCCACUCAAGUUAGCCUUCUCAUUUUUUAUUUCUAUUUUGUAUACUCUUCCAAAUUACUGCUAUGUACCUAUUACUCGAUCGCGGUGGUGUCUGAAGAGCAUAUGGAUGGAUUUUACAAAGCUAUUUGGAUUUACUCUUUUAAAAAGUUCCCUAAGAAGUAUAUAAAUUCAGAUGCAGGUUGAUUUUUCUUUGAUUGUAUGACAAGUUUAAGUUACAAUUCAAACGAGGGUAACAUACGGUGAUGGAGAUCUGAUGUAACAUCAUAUUGAAAGAUUGAUGUGUGAAUGCCAAAUUUUGGUUAAGGAAGAAGCAUGUUCAUCUCGGACAUGGAUCGAUGUUCUUUUGUUUUGUUGGAACAUGAAUAUUCAAAUGGCAAUGAUUUUGAGUUUUGUUGAUGGAUGGGAUGCACCCACAUGCCCGUAGUUUAUAGAGAGCACCAAUAGUUAAUAAGGAAAGAAAAGAGGUGGAAUCUUAGUUUUUAGUAUGCAUAGAAUGACUUUUGUUAUAAAACUUUCUAUGUUAUAUUGCAAAGCAUGAUCAAUUUAUCCAGAAAAUAAAUUUGUCAAGUGCAUUGAGU